GACGAACGCUGGCGGCGUGCUUAACACAUGCAAGUCGAACGGAAAGGCCCUGCUUUUGUGGGGUGCUCGAGUGGCGAACGGGUGAGUAACACGUGAGUAACCUGCCCUUGACUUUGGGAUAACUUCAGGAAACUGGGGCUAAUAUCGGAUAGGAGCUCCUGCAGCAUGGAGGGGGUUGGAAAGUUGCGGCGGUCGGGGAUGGACUCGCGGCUUAUCAGCUUGUUGGUGGGGUAGUGGCUUACCAAGGCUUGGGCGGGUCGCCCGCCUGAGGGGGUGACCGGCCACAUUGGGACUGAGGUGCGGCCGAGACUCCUACGGGAGGCCGCAGUGGGGAAUAUUGCACCAUGGGCGGAGGCCUGGUGCAGCAACGCCGCGUGCGGGAUGACGGCCUUCUGGUUGUAAACCACUUUCGCCUGUGUCGAAGCGUGAGUGACGGUAAUGGGUAGAGUAGCACCCGCUAACUACGUU
rnacentral:rRNA from 1 species